CCUACGGGUGGCAGCAGUGGGGAAUAUUGGGCAAUGGAGGAAACUCUGACCCAGCAACGCCGCGUGAAUGAUGAAGGUCUUCGGAUUGUAAAGUUCUUUUCUAAGGGAAGAAGAAAGUGACGGUACCUUAGUAAUAAGCCUCGGCUAACUACGUGCCAGCAGCCGCGGUAAUACGUAGGAGGCGAGCGUUAUCCGGAAUGACUGGGCGUAAAGGGUGCGUAGGUGGUUUGGCAAGUUAGUUGUGAAAGUUUGUGGCUCAACCGUAAAAUUGCAGUUGAAACUGGUAGUCUUGAGUACAGUAGAGGUGGGCGGAAUUCGUGGUGUAGCGGUGAAAUGCUUAGAUAUCACGAAGAACUCCGAUUGCGAAGGCAGCUCACUGGACUGCAACUGACACUGAUGCUCGAAAGUGUGGGUAUCAAACAGGAUUAGAUACCCGAGUAGUC
rnacentral:rRNA from 1 species